AGUGAACGCUGGCGGUAGGCCUAACACAUGCAAGUCGAACGGCAGCACAGUAAGAGCUUGCUCUUACGGGUGGCGAGUGGCGGACGGGUGAGGAAUACAUCGGAAUCUACUUUUUCGUGGGGGAUAACGUAGGGAAACUUACGCUAAUACCGCAUACGACCUACGGGUGAAAGCAGGGGAUCUUCGGACCUUGCGCGAUUGAAUGAGCCGAUGUCGGAUUAGCUAGUUGGCGGGGUAAAGGCCCACCAAGGCGACGAUCCGUAGCUGGUCUGAGAGGAUGAUCAGCCACGCUGGAACUGAGACACGGUCCAGACUCCGACGGGAGGCAGCAGUGGGGAAUAUUGGACAAUGGGCGCAAGCCUGAUCCAGCCAUACCGCGUGGGUGAAGAAGGCCUUCGGGUUGUAAAGCCCUUUUGUUGGGAAAGAAAAGCAGCAGGUUAAUACCCCGCUGUUCUGACGGUACCCAAAGAAUAAGCACCGGCUAACUUCGU
rnacentral:rRNA from 1 species